rnacentral:rRNA from 1 species
GAUGAACGCUGGCGGCGUGCCUAAUACAUGCAAGUCGAGCGAACAGACGAGGAGCUUGCUCCUCAGACGUUAGCGGCGGACGGGUGAGUAACACGUGGAUAACCUACCUAUAAGACUGGGAUAACUUCGGGAAACCGGAGCUAAUACCGGAUAAUAUAUUGAACCGCAUGGUUCAAUAGUGAAAGACGGUUUUGCUGUCACUUAUAGAUGGAUCCGCGCCGCAUUAGCUAGUUGGUAAGGUAACGGCUUACCAAGGCGACGAUGCGUAGCCGACCUGAGAGGGUGAUCGGCCACACUGGAACUGAGACACGGUCCAGACUCCUACGGGAGGCAGCAGUAGGGAAUCUUCCGCAAUGGGCGAAAGCCUGACGGAGCAACGCCGCGUGAGUGAUGAAGGUCUUCGGAUCGUAAAACUCUGUUAUUAGGGAAGAACAAAUGUGUAAGUAACUAUGCACGUCUUGACGGUACCUAAUCAGAAAACCACGGCUAACUACGU